CCUACGGGAGGCAGCAGUGGGGAAUAUUGCACAAUGGGGGAAACCCUGAUGCAGCAACGCCGCGUGAGUGAAGAAGUAUCUCGGUAUGUAAAGCUCUAUCAGCAGGGAAGAAAAUGACGGUACCUGACUAAGAAGCCCCGGCUAACUACGUGCCAGCAGCCGCGGUAAUACGUAGGGGGCAAGCGUUAUCCGGAUUUCUUGGGGUUAAAGGGUGCGUAGGCGGAAUGCCAAGUCAGCGGUAAAAUCGCGGGGCUCAACCUCGCUGCGCCGUUGAAACUGGCGUUCUUGAGUGGGCGAGAAGUAUGCGGAAUGCGUGGUGUAGCGGUGAAAUGCAUAGAUAUCACGCAGAACUCCGAUUGCGAAGGCAGCAUACCGGCGCCCAACUGACGCUGAAGUACGAAAGCGUGGGUAUCGAACAGGAUUAGAUACCCUAGUAGUC
rnacentral:rRNA from 1 species